UUUCCUAUUAGGAGUGGAGAGAGUAGAGAACUAAAAACCCUAAACUCUCAAAACAGAUCCAAAAGGCACGACUUCUUCCUCUGCCUCAAUCACCCGAUUUAGCUUCCAGUUUCUUUUAUUGAUUUCAAUCACCAAUUCCUCUCUUUUCUUGUUCUUAGAUUUGCAAUUCUAAAAUAGCUAUUACAAAAUAUGCCUAGAUAAUCAAUUUAUGAAUGUCAUGUACAACAGAAGGAAGCGUGGAAAUGCAUUGUGGAAUCGACCAGGAAAAAAGCAAGCGAACCUAUGGAAGAAGUUAAAAGGGAAGCUAAGGUACAAGCUGAAGAAUGAACAAAAAAAAUUGAUAAUAAGAUAGCAAAGUUAGACAAACGUUGAAAAGAAGAAUUUCGAAUGAUGUUCGCAGCUCAAGAUCGACAGUAAUUGCAGUUUUUGGAGGAGUACUAAAUACAUCAAAAUCGACAAGGACAUGAAUAAUUAUUUUUUCUCUUGUAAAAGCAUACUGAUAUGUUUGAAUGAAAUAAUGUUUCUAUUUUGAAACCUUUCAUUA